UGAAGAGGGAAACAACCCAGACCGCCAGCUAAGGUCCCAAAGUCAUGGUUAAGUGGGAAACGAUGUGGGAAGGCCCAGACAGCCAGGAUGUUGGCUUAGAAGCAGCCAUCAUUUAAAGAAAGCGUAAUAGCUCACUGGUCGAGUCGGCCUGCGCGGAAGAUGUAACGGGGCUAAACCAUGCACCGAAGCUGCGGCAGCGACGCUUAUGCGUUGUUGGGUAGGGGAGCGUUCUGUAAGCCUGCGAAGGUGUGCUGUGAGGCAUGCUGGAGGUAUCAGAAGUGCGAAUGCUGACAUAAGUAACGAUAAAGCGGGUGAAAAGCCCGCUCGCCGGAAGACCAAGGGUUCCUGUCCAACGUUAAUCGGGGCAGGGUGAGUCGACCCCUAAGGCGAGGCCGAAAGGCGUAGUCGAUGGGAAACAGGUUAAUAUUCCUGUACUUGGUGUUACUGCGAAGGGGGGACGGAGAAGGCUAUGUUGGCCGGGCGACGGUUGUCCCGGUUUAAGCGUGUAGGCUGGUUUUCCAGGCAAAUCCGGAAAAUCAAGGCUGAGGCGUGAUGACGAGGCACUACGGUGCUGAAGCAACAAAUGCCCUGCUUCCAGGAAAAGCCUCUAAGCAUCAGGUAACAUCAAAUCGUACCCCAAACCGACACAGGUGGUCAGGUAGAGAAUACCAAGGCGCUUGAGAGAACUCGGGUGAAGGAACUAGGCAAAAUGGUGCCGUAACUUCGGGAGAAGG
rnacentral:rRNA from 1 species